rnacentral:rRNA from 1 species
AGCUGGGGGAGCAAGGGGAUUAGAUACCCCCGUAGUCCCAGCUGUAAACGAUGCGGGCUAGGUGUUGGGCGGACUUCGAGUCCGCCCAGUGCCGUAGGGAAACCAUUAAGCCCGCCGCCUGGGGAGUACGGCCGCAAGGCUGAAACUUAAAGGAAUUGGCGGGGGAGCACCACAAGGGGUGAAUGCUGCGGUUUAAUUGGAGUCAACGCCGGGAACCUUACCGGGGGCGACAGCAGGAUGACGGCCAGGCUGACGACCUUGCCAGACGCGCUGAGAGGAGGUACAUCGCCGUCGCCAGUUCGUGCCGUGAGGUGUCCGGUUAAGUUCGGCAACGAACGAGACCCCCACCCCCAGUUGCUACCGCACCCCUGCGGGGGUACGGGCACUCUGGGGGGACUGCCGGCGCUGAGCCGGAGGAAGGAGGGGGCCACGGCAGGUCAGCAUGCCCCGAAACCCCCGGGCCACACGCGGCAUGCAAUGGUGGGGACAAUGGGUUCUGACCCCGAAAGGGGGAGGCAAUCCCAUAAACCCCACCUCAGUUGGGAUUGAGGGCUGCAACUCGCCCUCACGAACAUGGAAUCCCUAGUAACCGCGCGUCACCAUCGCGCGGUGAUACGUCCUGCUCCUUGCACACACCGCCCGUA